rnacentral:rRNA from 1 species
AUGCACCUGUGGCCGUCGCUCCGGAUCCGGGACUCGUUCAAGCACGCCUACCUGGAGAAGCUUGAGUUCAACCUCGCCCACAAGAAGCGCGCGCAGGGGCAGGGGCAAGGGCGGCAGGGCCAGGACGGGGACGAGGCGCCUCUGCUCGAGGGCCGCUCGUCGUCGAUGGUGGCCACCGCGUUCGAGCUCGCCUGCGACGCCGCCAUGCUCCUUUCGUGCUGCUGUUGCUGCUUCUGCUGCGGCGGUACGUCCUGA